ensembl:lincRNA
AUGAAGACUAUGGAGGUGAAUACACGUCUGUUCUUCAAAGCAAAGAGCAAUUCAUUGCAAAUACACUUAAAAUGGGACACAUCCAAAGAUGGCAGACUCUUCAUAAUAGAAAGGAACUUUAUGAAGUAUUUCUAUUGCAUUUCAGCUGACUUUAUUAUUUAUUUAUUUAUUUACUUAUUUAUUUUGGGACAGGGUCUCACUUUGUCACCCAGGCUGGUGGGCAGUGGCGUGAUCUUGGCUUACUGCAGCCUCAACCUUCUGGGUUCAAGGGAUCCUCCCAUCUCAACCCCCACCAAGUACCAGCUGCCUUUUAAAUGUCGCUCAUGCAUCACGUUCCCUGCAGGAUCCUGUGUCUCUGAAGAGUGGGCAGGGGAGUGUCCAUUGGCAGCACCUGCCUCCUGAGUGUCUUCCAGGCCAUCACCGUCAGCCCCGGGAGCUCAGGAUCUAACAUAUAUUAACACCGUGUGUCUAAAGUCGUCCCUGCUGGGCAUCUGGAGGAAUCUGAGAAGGGGCAGGUCUUUGUUGUGACUCUCAGAGCAGCACCUACUGCUGGACAGGGCGGGACACCCCAUCUCAAGCCCAAUCUCAUCCACCGACAAGGUCCGUUAUCUCCUGUCCGGGGAAGAGGCGGGCCUGUCUCCGUCCUGGGAGGAGCUCUGGGCUUCUCCUUCAUCCAGAGAUGUGCCCCAGGGACCAGCCAGUGGGGCUGGGAGGAGCCCCCCUCAGCAGAGAAGACACAGGUGCCUGGGUGGCCGAGGCCUAGAAGGUCUGCACCAUGGUGCACGGAGGCCCCGGAGCUGGGUGAGCCCAGAAAGCUGCCCUGGGGUCCGCGGGGACUGUGCCUGCUGAAUCUGCACCUGAGCUACGUCUUCACAAAUGGCCUCAGACCUAGAGUGCAGGGAGAUCCCCUGGCUUUUCUGAAGUGGUGGCCGGUGGUCCCCUGGGGAGCAGGACCUGGGCUGCUUACUGCCCUCACCCAGUGAGGGCCCGCGGGGAGCUCUUAAGGCGGGAAUCAUGGGUCUGCCUGAUGUGACUGCUGUGCCCACAUCAGAGGGUUUUUCUUUCUUUUCCGAAGUCAAGCUGCACUAAUCCAGACCAGGGAUCCCACCCCUGGGCUGCGGACCGGUCCCUGUGGGUGGCCUGUUGGGAACUGGACCGCACAGCCAGAGGUGAGCAGUGGGUGAGAGAGCCUGACCCCCUGAGCUCGCCUCCUGUGAGAUCAGCAGCGCCACUGCAUCCCAGAGGAGUGGGAACCCUACUGUGCACGGCGCAUGCGAGGCAUCUGGGUGGCAUCCUCUUUAUGAGAAUCGAUGAUCUCAGGCGGAACAGGUUAAUCCUGAAACCAUUCCCCUGUCUGUGAAAAAACUGCCCUCCACGAAACCAGUCCCUGGUGCCAAAAACGCUGGGAACCGCUGAUCUAGACAGUUCUCUGCUAAGGAAGCACGUGGUUGAGAAACAUCAGACUCGUUCCCACGGACCCUGCUCUGGAGUUUCAGCAGGCGCCUGGAGGUGAGCCCCACUGACCUCUCCUCUCCCCUCCGUACCUCCUCAGCUUUGGUAAUGAAAAGCUGCAUCCUCUUCGGUCCCCAAUUCCUCUCUGGGUGUCAGGAGCUCUAAAACCCUCUCAGCCGCUGAGAAAUCUGUCUGUCUGUCUCACAGCGUCUUCAUCCGUGCAUCAUGAAGGACACUCACAUGGUGACGUGCCUUGGCUCAUGUGAGUAACACUGCAGCAAGCAUGGGGGUGCAGAUAUCUCUUGGAAACACUCAUUUCCUUCAGAUACACACUCAGAGGUGGGAUUGCUGGAUCGUAUGGCCAUUUUGAUUUUUUAAAUUAAAAAGAAUUUUAAUUCUCAUAUUGUUUUGAGUAAAGUUAGAUUAUAACUUGUGAGGCAACUCGAUGCUUUUUAUAAUUGUUUAAGAAAUAAUUGCUCUGCCAACUGACUGUCCCAACAACAGUGUACAGGGGUAUUUUUUUUUUCCUCCACAUCCUCAUUUCUUUUGUCUUUUUAAUACCAGCAAUCCUCAGACAUGGGAAUUGAUACCUCACUGCGAUUUUCAUUCGCAUUUCCUGAUGAUUUAGUCAUAUUCAGGCGCCCCCCCCCACCUUUUUUUUUUUUUUUUUUUUUGAGAUGUAC